rnacentral:rRNA from 1 species
AGCACUAUACUGUGAAACUGCGAAUGGCUCAUUAAAUCAGUUAUCGUUUAUUUGAUAGUACCUUACUACAUGGAUAACCGUGGUAAUUCUAGAGCUAAUACAUGCUAAAAACCUCGACUUCGGAAGGGGUGUAUUUAUUAGAUAAAAAACCAAUGCCCUUCGGGGCUCCUUGGUGAUUCAUAAUAACUUAACGAAUCGCAUGGCCUUGUGCCGGCGAUGGUUCAUUCAAAUUUCUGCCCUAUCAACUUUCGAUGGUAGGAUAGUGGCCUACCAUGGUUUCAACGGGUAACGGGGAAUUAGGGUUCUAUUCCGGAGAGGGAGCCUGAGAAACGGCUACCACAUCCAAGGAAGGCAGCAGGCGCGCAAAUUACCCAAUCCCGACACGGGGAGGUAGUGACAAUAAAUACUGAUACAGGGCUCUUAUGAGUCUUGUAAUUGGAAUGAGUACAAUUUAAAUCCCUUAACGAGGAACAAUUGGAGGGCAAGUCUGGUGCCAGCAGCCGCGGUAAUUCCAGCUCCAAUAGCGUAUAUUAAAGUUGUUGCAGUUAAAAAGCUCGUAGUUGAACCUUGGCCCUGGUUGGUCGGUCCGCCUCACCGCGUGCACUGAUCCGACCGGGGCUUUCCUUCUGGGGAACCGCAUGCCCUUCAUUGGGUGUGUCGGGGAACCAGGACUUUUACUUUGAAAAAAUUAGAGUGUUCAAAGCAGGCCUAUGCUCGAAUACAUUAGCAUGGAAUAAUAGAAUAGGACGUGUGGUUCUAUUUUGUUGGUUUUCUAGGACCGCCGUAAUGAUAAUAGGGAUAGUCGGGGGCAUCAGUAUUCAAUUGUCAGAAGUGAAAUUCUUGGAUUUAUUGAAGACUAACUACU